UGCAAAUGAUGUAAGAAAACAUUUGCUAUCAGAAAGAUGGUGAUGACAUCUUAAACCACCAAGAUCGCUAAUGCA
ensembl:snoRNA SNORD24 Small nucleolar RNA SNORD24